GCCCUCGUAGUUCAAUGGACAGAACAAGGGACUCCUAAGCCCUAGAUAUAGGUUCGAUUCCUGUCGGGGGCACCC
rnacentral:tRNA from 1 species